CUCACCAUGGGAUGGAUCUGUGUCAUCUUUCUUGUGGCAACAGCUACAGGUGUCCACUCACAGGUCAAGCUGCUGCAGUCUGGGGCUGCACUGGUGAAGCCUGGGGCCUCUGUGAAGUUGUCUUGCAAAGCUUCUGGUUAUACAUUCACUGCCUACUAUAUACACUGGGUGAAGCAGAGUCAUGAAAAGAGCUUUGAAUGGAUUGGGGAAAUUAAUCCUUACAGUGGUUUUACUAACUACAAUGAAAAGUUCAAGAGCAAGGCCACAUUGACUGUAGACAAAUCCACCAGCACAGCCUAUAUGGAACUUAGCAGAUUGACCUCUGAGGACUCUGCAAUCUAUUACUGCACAAGACACAGUGUGAAAACCACAUCCUGA